rnacentral:rRNA from 1 species
GGNAAGGCCUAAUACNCAAAAGGAAUUGACCGGGGGCCCGNCACAACCGGAUNGAGNCNAUGUGGUUCAAAUUNGACGNCNACGCGAAGAACAUUUACCNGGGNUGGAACCCCUCCAGAAGUGCCCACAGAAGAUGUGGAUGUGCCUCNCANAGAGAANCUGGAUGUCCCCGGUGCCGCCAUGGCUGUCGUCAGNUCNNUGUCGUGAGAUGNUUGGGUNAAGAUCCCGCCAACGAGCGCNACCCUANUCGUUAGUUGCCAGCGGUUCGGUCCGGGCACUCUAGCGAGACUGCCGGUGUUAAACCGGAGGAAGGUGGGGAUGACGUCAAGUCCUCAUGGCCCUUAUGCCCAGGGCUACACACGUGCUACAAUGGCCGGUACAAAGGGUCGCUAACCCGCGAGGGUACGCUAAUCCCAAAAAACCGGCCUCAGUUCAGAUUGGAGUCUGCAACUCGACUCCAUGAAGUCGGAAUCGCUAGUAAUACCCUGAUCAGCAGGNCAGGGGUGAAUACGUUCCCGGGCCUUGUACACACCGCCCGUCACACCAUGGGAGUCAGUUGCUCCAGAAACGGCUGCGCUAACCCGNCAAGGGGGGCAGGUCUUUAAGGAGUGGCUGGUAACUGGGGUGAAGUCGUAANCAAGGUACC